UGUUCGAGCGUCAUUACAACCCUCAAGCUCUGCUUGGUAUUAGGCUUCACCUGCUAGGCGGGCCAUAAAAUCAGUGGCGGUGCCAUUCAGCUUCAAGCGUAGUAAUAUUUCUCGCUAUGGAUGACUGAGUAGGUACCUGCCAGCAACCCUAAUUUUUAAAGGUUGACCUCGGAUCAGGUAGGGAUACCCGCUGAACUUAA
rnacentral:misc_RNA from 1 species